rnacentral:RNase_P_RNA from 1 species
UGAGUCAACUAGAUGAUUGCGGGUUUUAUUUCGAAGUAAAACCUGAGGAAAGUCCGAGCUCCAUAGGGCAGGAUGCUGGGUAAUACCCAGUGAGGGCGACCUUAAGGAAAGUGCCACAGAAACAUACCGCCCAGUAUUGGGUAAGGGUGAAACGGUAAGGUAAGAGCUUACCAGCAGUUAGGCGACUAACUGGCUAGGCAAACCCCAUCUGGAGCAAGGUCAAAUAGGAGAGAAGGAGCUGCCCGUUCCGCUUGACUCUCGGGUUGACCGCAUGAAAUAACAGGCAACUGUUAUUCCAGAUAGAUGAUCAUACUCGACAGAACUCGGCUUACCAGUUAACUCAGUAA